rnacentral:rRNA from 1 species
CCGGAAGACCAAGGGUUCCUGUCCAACGUUAAUCGGGGCAGGGUGAGUCGACCCCUAAGGCGAGGCCGAAAGGCGUAGUCGAUGGGAAACGGGUUAAUAUUCCCGUACUUGGUGUUACUGCGAAGGGGGGACGGAGAAGGCUAUGUUGGCCGGGCGACGGUUGUCCCGGUUUAAGCGUGUAGGUGUGUGUUCCAGGUAAAUCCGGUUCACUUUAACACUGAGGCGUGACGACGAGGCACUACGGUGCUGAAGCAACAAAUGCCCUGCUUCCAGGAAAAGCCUCUAAGCAUCAGGUAACAUCAAAUCGUACCCCAAACCGACACAGGUGGUCAGGUAGAGAAUACCAAGGCGCUUGAGAGAACUCGGGUGAAGGAACUAGGCAAAAUGGUGCCGUAACUUCGGGAGAAGGCACGCUGACACGUAGGUGAAGUGAUUUACUCAUGGAGCUGAAGUCAGUCGAAGAUACCAGCUGGCUGCAACUGUUUAUUAAAAACACAGCACUGUGCAAACACGAAAGUGGACGUAUACGGUGUGACGCCUGCCCGGUGCCGGAAGGUUAAUUGAUG